rnacentral:rRNA from 1 species
GUGGAAGGGCGGCGUGCUAUACAUGCAAGUCGAGCGGACAGAUGGGAGCUUGCUCCCUGAUGUUAGCGGCGGACGGGUGAGUAACACGUGGGUAACCUGCCUGUAAGACUGGGAUAACUCCGGGAAACCGGGGCUAAUACCGGAUGCUUGUUUGAACCGCAUGGUUCAAACAUAAAAGGUGGCUUCGGCUACCACUUACAGAUGGACCCGCGGCGCAUUAGCUAGUUGGUGAGGUAAUGGCUCACCAAGGCGACGAUGCGUAGCCGACCUGAGAGGGUGAUCGGCCACACUGGGACUGAGACACGGCCCAGACUCCUACGGGAGGCAGCAGUAGGGAAUCUUCCGCAAUGGACGAAAGUCUGACGGAGCAACGCCGCGUGAGUGAUGAAGGUUUUCGGAUCGUAAAGCUCUGUUGUUAGGGAAGAACAAGUACCGUUCGAAUAGGGCGGUACCUUGACGGUACCUAACCAGAAAGCCACGGCUAACUACGUGCCAGCAGCCGCGGUAAUACGUAGGUGGCAAGCGUUGUCCGGAAUUAUUGGGCGUAAAGGGCUCGCAGGCGGUUUCUUAAGUCUGAUGUGAAAGCCCCCGGCUCAACCGGGGAGGGUCAUUGGAAACUGGGGAACUUGAGUGCAGAAGAGGAGAGUGGAAUUCCACGUGUAGCGGUGAAAUGCGUAGAGAUGUGGAGGAACACCAGUGGCGAAGGCGACUCUCUGGUCUGUAACUGACGCUGAGGAGCGAAAGCGUGGGGAGCGAACAGGAUUAGAUACCCUGGUAGUCCACGCCGUAAACGAUGAGUGCUAAGUGUUAGGGGGUUUCCGCCCCUUAGUGCUGCAGCUAACGCAUUAAG